GGUAUAUAGGGGAGAAGAGUCUCCAGGAGGAGAGAGAGAUCUGAAAAAGAAAGAAAGAAGGGAGAGGAAGAAAAAGAGCGGGGGGGGAGAGAAAGAAAACAGGUAGGAGAAGAAGGGGAGGAAACAGAGAGAGAGAGAGAAGGAAGGGGAAGAGAGAAAGAAAGAAGGGAGAGGAAGAAAGUGGGGGGGGGAGAGAAAAGAAAUAUGGGAGAGGGAGGGGAGAGAGAAUAAGCAAGCCUUCAGACUGUGUGAAAGUUUAAGGGCAGGGAGCAACGUUGAGUCAUGUCAGGUGUUAACUGAAAGGACAGGCUUCAUCGGCCCACAGGUUGUUUGAGUGCAUCUCCUUUCUCCAGUUUUUAGUCAUUGUCAACUUUAUGUAGGUUUCUCAUGAGUAAGAUCAUUUGACUCACUAUUAUAUCAGCAAAUCAAAAGAUAAAAAACUCUGUGUAUAAAGAAAUGUAUGACACUGAGCAAUACAGCAAGGCCCAGGGAGCAAGGAGAGCAAUGAAGUACUAGUGCACAGAUGCUCUGCACAGCUCUUAUCAUACCUCCCAAAUGGAUUUUCUGAUAUGCUGCAGAAUGUGUCUGCUUUUCUGGUGAUGUUAUAAGCCAGCUCAUGUUCAAUUGACUCUGAGCAAGCCAGGGAAUUUCUGAGUUGGUCAUGGAACACAAAACCCCAAACCCAGUCAAGAGCAGCCACCCUGAAGACAGAAUUUGCCCACUGAAGCUCGCUCAAGUUCUCUCAGAUCUGAAGCUCCCUCAAAGACAAAGAAGGCUGGAGGUGCUCAUAGGCACACAGACAGAAGCAGGAGGUCCUGGCAGUCUUUCUCCACCCCUUGUCCCUCAGCUUAUCAUCAGUCCUUUAGAAGCUGAUUAUCACUAGGAAAUUGAUGCUGUAGUUGCUACUGCUGGUCUGGAACUUCCUACCACUCAGUGAAGUGGGGAGCUGUGCAUACAGAAGGCAAUAUGAGCUGGCCCCUUGGCUAGUGGAUUCAGGAAAUAUCACUUGGCUGGCCAGCUAAAGUGGCAAUUUAGAGCUUCACGCAGCUUGACAUAUGAUAACUGGCUUUGUUGCCUGUUUGUGGUCAGCCAUUAGCUCUCCUUUUAGUCUUGUUUUGAACUCUAUUAGUUAUGACUUAGUCUUAAACUUAAUACCUGGUGGACCAAGGGAUGUAUAAUGAAUCCAAAAUCUCUUAACUGUUCUCCAGACGUUAAUCCUUGAAACUGGCUGAUGAGAGAACCAGACCCCUGUGCUGAGCCAGGAUGGCCAUGCUGUCCAGACUUGUGGUAGUUUUCUGUUGAGAUUUCUUUUCACAAAUAGAUUUUAGAGGACAAGAAAGAAGAGCUUAUAAUUGGUUUGCGGUGAAGAUAGAGUCCAAUGUUCUUUGGCGAAACAAAGCCUGGAAUGCAUUUUUCAGAGUGGUUGUAGACUACGUGUUCUGUACUAGUCAUAUUACUAAAUAAACUCUUGAUCAGAAUUCAGGGAGCAGAUUUCAGGAUGUGUUAAUACUGAUAAACUUAAAGCAUCUUUAUAUGGGUAUAUAGGAAGAUCCCUUAGAUUGAGACUGCCGCCAUCUGCGGUGGAUGUGUCUCACCACAGGACUUGGUGCCUGGCUGAGUCAAUACCCGUCUCUUUGUCUGUGGUGCCUUAUGAGGAUGAUCCACUUGAGUGGAGUACCUGAACUCUGCUUAGUGUUCCUCUUUGCUGGUUGCAUUAUGUUAACAAUAAUAAAGUGGCCCUAGGUUCUUCCAA